CCCUUGUCUGGCAACCUUUAUAAAGAGAGAGGGAGGGAGGAAGAGACAAACAGAGGGAAACCAGGAUGAAAGAUGCUAUUUUGCAUGAUGUCUCUCCUGAUACUGAAUGUGAUGUCCGUGAGGCUGUGGUGGAAGGGUUCCACCCCAACUCCUAACUUUCUUUCCCAUCAAAGAAGCUGGACAUGUUGCGGAAUCCAACAGAGCAUCAACAAAGCAACAUGUGGAGGCCCCUCAUGGUCUGCUUCCAUGGGUAGAAACCACGCUUCAGCUGGGAGAGCCUGAAAAGUUACGGAGGAGAACACCCUGACCACCUUCCUUUCUUCCUGAGAAAACUGGCUGUUUCUUUAAGAGAUGAAGAACAACCUCACAUACACUCCCAUACACUUCCAACCCGAGAGAAAUUCCACAUUUCAUUUUGCUUCUGAAAUCGCUGUGUGUUGAGGAGUCACAUCAUCAUUGCUAAUGACUGAUCUAGAACUUCUAGUCUUGUUCUACUAGAUAAAGGGAGAGAGGGAAUUCCACUGCAUACUUUGUUUGGAAACCAGCUACAUACUGCAAUACUCACCAGUGGGUAUAAUGCAGUGUGUAAGGCCAUUCAGAAAGCAUAGCGAAAUCACAGCGUUACGUGCAGCCACAGAGUAACAGAAGGAAAAGUUCAGGGUAGGUGACCGAAGGUGAGGAGGAAGAGUAGUAGCUUUAUAACAAAACAGAACCAAGAUCAACUUCUGCUGGCGUGGGGAGCUGCAGCCGGAAAAGAAAAGUGUUACACACCAACUUCUGCGGUUCAGUAUCAUGGUUGGGAGGUGCCCUAAUAAAGCUCCCGUAAAAGCAAACUCAUCCUAGGCACAUUCCAACUUGUAGGAUUUGAAGUUUUUAAUUUAUGUGGCAUCAAUACCUGUUUUGAAUCGGAAAUAAAGCAGAUGAGAAAUCUAA